rnacentral:lncRNA from 1 species
CAUAGGACCUGCAUACCGAUUUUGCAGUUUUGUCUACUAACUCGGGGUAUUUUUCUUUUGUUUCCCCCCUCCCUUGCAUUCAUAAAAAUAUUUCAAUAAGACGGAAAUAUUCUUCUAUAUCUGAUGAUAAUUUUAAUCCAAUGAAGUUUGAAGAUUACAAGUGUUAUUUGAUUCUUGGGCGGGUCCUACGAUGAAAACCCUCUGAGAAAUGUUGUAAUUGUUUUCCAAAGGAAAAUUUUGUAUAUUUGAAAAAGGAGACAAAAAGUGUAUAUGUGGAGCUCUUUACAAUUUUCUCUCUUCUCAUUUGUAUCGUAAUUGAAUGAGAAAUUUUGUUUCAAACUUUUUCAGCAAUAAAUUUUUUGGACAAUCAUUGUUUUGUGUAUAUUUAUGUACAUUUCAUUCUUUAUUCUUAUUCAUUGGAGAUUGCAUGAUGAAUUUUAAGAAAUAAGACUAAAUUGGGAUUUUU